GAAACUGUGCAGUUUGCCAUCCGCUCCUCUAGGCGGCGUAAGCGCGCUUCAGGUUCAGCAUGACACCUUUGGAUUCCUGUCAACAACAACAUGACACCUGAUGACAGUCGCCACAACACGUUCUGGUAGUUUUAAGGCCAUUAAAGUACAAACCCUGCAGAUGACAGCUCAGUGACAGACUCGUAAUGUCACUUAACAACACAUUUUUCAGCCCAUCUGCAAAAACAACCGACACACACUGUUAUAAAGUGCAGGAAUCAAGAAUGUCACGCGACUCACCUAUCUGGCAUUCUCUGACUCAACACUUUAACAGAGUCGUUGCCCCUCGACUUUCUGGGCUUUGGUUUUUCAGACAAACCGAAUAAGAGAUGUGUUUGGACCGUUACACCCAGUGACGUGUGGACAGACAUUCACAGUUUGAUGGACAUCUGCUCAGACACAGUUAAAAGCAUAACCACUGCUGGACAUCGUGCGGGAGCUCAGGGGGGGACCCCAUGAUCCCCCACACCUUCUCACUCACACCACAGCAUUCAUUCAUAUCGCAGAGAUCUGGCUGGAGUCGAACCAGCAACCUCUGAAACCGUGAGGCAGCGCUCUUACCUGUGAGCCACAGAUCUCUUGUCUGGACAUGUGAAGGAACUUAUAUUUCACUAUUCACCUGUAUGUGAGCUGGGAUUUUACAAUAAACCAGUUAAAGC